GUUUCCGGCCCGGGGCCCGACUGCGGGUGGCAUUUCUGGCUAAGCCGUUAGGCGCGAAUUAUAUGGAGAUAUAUACACACACGUAUCUGAAAACAUUCUGACGUUUUAAAAACGGAGCACCAGAGGAGGGGGACUUCAUCUGACUUGUUCAGCACUGUCUCCCAGGCCCUGGCACAGAGGGAGCACUCGAUACACACCGAUGGGCUGAAGGUGUGAAUGGAUCUGGGGACUAGAGUGAUGGUUAUUUGGCAGACAGCAUGCCCCGCCUGGGCAGUAGCCGUGAAGACUCUUCUUUUCCUCUCCUCGCCUGCACUCUUUAGGAUUGAACAGCAUUGGUUCAAUGCAUAUUCUGGGAGCACAGAGAAAAAAGGGAUCAAGUUCCACCAUUAUGCAAAAGGGACUCCUGUAAGCCAGACCCUGAGCCGUUGUCAAAACACAGCUUAAUCCCCAUUCCCUGGGCCCGAGACCCUGCAGCCCCCACGCUGCCCGGCUUCCGGUCUUACCUGGGGCAACCUGACCAACAAGAACGCGGAAGGCCAGGAGCCAAAAACAGAGACUCCUGAUGGGUAACAGAAGGAAAAGACUUGGAGGCUGCCAUUUCUCCAAGUAGUCCUGGAGAUUCUCAAAUGCUAAAGUUAACCAACACAGUGCCCUAAGACCAGAAAGGAGAAAAAAUGGAAGUUCUGGGUCCUGCCAAAGGACUAUUUCACUGAGCAGACUGCUGAGACCUCUGAAUUAUGUGGACACUUGAGAAUCAGUCAUGUGUUGGGGCCGGCGUCGUGGCUCAUGCCUGUAAUCCCAGCACUUUGGCAUUUUGGGAGGCCAAGGCGGGUGGAUCACCUGUGGUCAGGAGUUCGAGACCAGCCUGGUCAACAUGGUGAAACCCUGUCUUUACUAAAAACAAAAACAAACCCCAAAAAUUAGCCAGGUAUGGUGGCCGGCACCUGUAAUCCGAGCUAGUCGGGAGGCUGAGGCAGGAGAACUGCUUGGGCUUGGGAGGCAGAGGUUGCAGUGAGCCGAGAUUGUGCCACUGCACUUCAGCCUGGGCGACAAGAGUGAAACACCA
rnacentral:lncRNA from 1 species